UACGUAGGGUGCAAGCGUUAAUCGGAAUUACUGGGCGUAAAGCGUGCGCAGGCGGUUUUGUAAGUCUGUCGUGAAAGCCCGGGGCUCAACUCCGGAAUUGCCUUUAAGACUGCAUCGCUAGAAUUGUGGAGAGGUAAGUGGAAUUCCGAGCGUAGAGGUGAAAUUCGUAGAUAUUCGGAAGAACACCAGUGGCGAAGGCGACUUACUGGACACAUAUUGACGCUGAGGUGCGAAAGCGUGGGGAGCAAAC
rnacentral:rRNA from 1 species